rnacentral:misc_RNA from 1 species
GAAAUGCGAUAAGUAAUGUGAAUUGCAGAAUUCAGUGAAUCAUCGAAUCUUUGAACGCACAUUGCGCCCUUUGGUAUUCCGAAGGGCAUGCCUGUUCGAGCGUCAUUAUAACCACUCAAGCCUUUGCUUGGUAUUGGGGUUCGCGGUUUCGCGGCUCCUAAAAUCAGUGGCGGUGCCUGUCGGCUCUACGCGUAGUAAUACUCCUCGCGUCUGGGUCCGGUAGGUGAUUUGCCAGCAACACCCAAAUUUUUACAGGUUGACCUCGGAUCAGGUAGGGAUACCCGCUGAACUUAA